rnacentral:rRNA from 1 species
CGGCGAGUGAAGCGGCAACAGCUCAAAUUUGAAAUCUGGCCCUUGGGUCCAAGUUGUAAUUUGUAGAGGAUGCUUUUGUUGCGGUGCCUUCCGAGUUCCCUGGAACGGGACGCCUUAGAGGGUGAGAGCCCCUGUACGGUUGGACGCCUACCCUCUGUAAAGCUCCUUCGACGAGUCGAGUAGUUUGGAAAUGCUGCUCUAAAUGGGAGGUAUAUUUCUUCUAAAGCUAAAUACUGNCCAGAGACCGAUAGCGCACAAGUAGAGUGAUCGAAAGAUGAAAAGCACUUUGAAAAGAGGGUUAAAUAGCACGUGAAAUUGUUGAAAGGGAAGCGUUUAUCACCAGACUUUUUCUGGGGGGAUCAUCCGGUGUUCUCACCGGUGCACUUCCCCCAKUUGAGGCCAGCAUCGGUUUUCGGAGGGGGAUAAAAKUUUCGGGAAUGUGACUCCCUCGGGAGUGUUAUAGCCCGUUACAUAAUACCCUUCUGGGGACCGAGGUUCGCGCAUCUGCAAGGAUGCUGGCAUAAUGGUGAUCAACGACCCGCCUUGAAACACGGACCAAGGAUUCAAACUUUUAU